rnacentral:sRNA from 1 species
AUUAGAAUGCUAGGUUCCCCAAAUCCUCACCAACUCUGUACAACUUAAUGAAGUUUUGAUGUAAAAUGUAAACAGCAUUGAAAGGCAUUUUUUUCUUCAUAAUUUGUUUUUUCAUAAUUUAGAUUUCAAAUCCUAAAUUUAAGUGGUAUUUAUAAAUUUUCUGUUCUGUUUAAUCUAUUAUUAAAAUACAAGGAUGCUCCAAGACACCUAGGCAGAUAAUUUAUCUUUAGCAUGACACUUAAAAAAGAAUGUUGUGAUUUUUGCUUUAAAAGAAAGCCUGUAUAAAGCUGUAAAAAAAAUUAUGCUAAUGUUAAGUGGAAAUACAUCUGCAAAAUACUUUUUCUCUUUUGCUUGUGGGCAAUCUAAAGUGUUCUUGCUACCAUCAGGCGUGCUCACUGAUUGAUCCUGUGAAAUCAGGCUGGGUGUUCAUGCCUGUAAUCCCAGCACUUUGGGAGGCUGAGGUGGGUGGAUCACUUGAGCCCAGGAGUUCAAGACCAGCCUGGGCAGUAUGGCGAAACCCUGUCUCUACAAAAA